CAGCAGCCGCGGGAAUACGGAGGGUGCAAGCGUUAUCCGGAUUCACUGGGUUUAAAGGGUGCGUAGGCGGAUCUGUAAGUCAGUGGUGAAAUCUCCAGGCUUAACCUGGAAACUGCCGUUGAUACUAUAGGUCUUGAAUUUUGUGGAGGUUAGCGGAAUAUGUCAUGUAGCGGUGAAAUGCAUAGAUAUGACAUAGAACACCAAUUGCGAAGGCAGCUGGCUACACAACUAUUGACGCUGAGGCACGAAAGCGUGGGGAUCAAACAGGAUUAGAUACCCCCGUAGUCCCUGUCUCUUAUAC
rnacentral:rRNA from 1 species